rnacentral:rRNA from 1 species
UCACACUGCUUAUACGGUGAAACCGCGAAUGGCUCAUUAAAUCAGUCGAGGUUCCUUAGAUGACACGAUCCUACUUGGAUAACUGUGGCAAUUCUAGAGCUAAUACAUGCAUCUCAAGCUCCGACCCUCGUGGAAAGAGCGCUUUUAUUAGUUCAAAACCAAUCGGGUGACCCUUCGCGGGGGAUCCCGUCCCUAUUGGUGACUCUGGAUAACUUUGUGCUGAUCGCAUGGCCUUCGUGCCGGCGACGCAUCUUUCAAAUGUCUGCCCUAUCAAAUGUCGAUGGUACGUGAUAUGCCUACCAUGUUUGUAACGGGUAACGGGGAAUCAGGGUUCGAUUCCGGAGAGGGAGCAUGAGAAACGGCUACCACAUCCAAGGAAGGCAGCAGGCGCGCAACUUACCCACUCCCGGCACGGGGAGGUAGUGACGAAAAAUAACAAUACGGGACUCUUUCGAGGCCCCGUAAUUGGAAUGAGUACACUUUAAACCCUUUAACGAGGAUCUAUUGGAGGGCAAGUCUGGUGCCAGCAGCCGCGGUAAUUCCAGCUCCAAUAGCGUAUAUUAAAGUUGUUGCAGUUAAAAAGCUCGUAGUUGGAUCUCAGGUGAAGGCGGGUGGUCCGGCUCGCGCCGGUUCACUGCCCGUUCCUUACCUACUCCCUGUCGGCUCUCUCCCGUGGGUGCUCUUCGCUGAGCGUCCCGGGUGGCCGGCGCGUUUACUUUGAAAAAAUUAGAGUGUUCAAAGCAGGCCUGGUAAGCCUGAAUAAUGGUGCAUGGAAUAAUGGAAUAGGACCUCGGUUCUAUUUUGUUGGUUUUCGGAGCGGAGGUAAUGAUUAACAGGGACAAACGGGGGCAUUCGUAUUGCUGCGUUAGAGGUGAAAUUCUUGGAUCGCAGCAAGACGAGCUACUGCGAAAGCAUUUGUCAAGAAUGUUUUCAUUAGUCAAGAACGAAAGUCAGAGGCGCGAAGACGAUCAGAUACCGUCGUAGUUCUGACCAUAAACGAUGCCAACUGGCCAUCUGCAGGAGUUGCAUUCGAUAACUCUGCGGGCAGCCUCCGGGAAACCAAAGUCUUUGGGUUCCGGGGGAAGUAUGGUUGCAAAGCUCAAACUUAAAG